rnacentral:lncRNA from 1 species
GUUAGUUGGAGUUGCACUUACACUUAACCAUUCGUCAGUAAUGUUAAAACCAUUUCAGUUCUUAAAUAAUGAAAUAAUGUUAGAACAUAACUACAAAUCUGUGCUGAUUAAAUCCUUAAUCAACAAUAAGUUAAACCAUUUAAAAACAAGUUCUGCUUAAUAUUUCUUGUAAAUGACACAAAAUUUACAAAUGACUGCCGCCGUCCCAACCAGCAGAUCCUGUGAAGAGGACUUCUGGACAGACCAGCCAUGACAGUCCUGAAGAUCCGCCUGCCCUUGUUUCUGCAGCAUUCAGCCUACAGGAGCAAGCUUAAUCAUUACUUCACACGACCAACACGCCCUCCGGCACUUUCCUGCUGUCAGCAUCUUCUUGGUGCCUGA